rnacentral:rRNA from 1 species
UACGUAGGUGGCAAGCGUUGUCCGGAUUUACUGGGCGUAAAGGAUGCGUAGGCGGACAUUUAAGUCAGAUGUGAAAUACCCGAGCUUAACUUGGGUGCUGCAUUUGAAACUGGGUGUCUAGAGUGCAGGAGAGGUAAGUGGAAUUCCUAGUGUAGCGGUGAAAUGCGUAGAGAUUAGGAGGAACACCUGUGGCGAAAGCGGCUCACUGGACCAGAACUGACGAUCAGGCACGAAAGCGUGGGGAGCAAACAGG